CACCGCGGUUAUACGAGAGACCCAAGUUGAUAAGCAUCGGCGUAAAGAGUGGUUAUGAAUUAGACUGAAAACUAAAGCCAAAUGCCCCCAAAGCUGUUAUACGCACCCGGAGGCCAGAAACCCAACCACGAAAGUGGCUUUAUCUCAUCUGAACCCACGAAAGCUAUGGUA
rnacentral:rRNA from 1 species